rnacentral:rRNA from 1 species
AUACAAUGGUCGGUACAGAGGGUUGCCAACCCGCGAGGGGGAGCCAAUCCCAGAAAACCGAUCGUAGUCCGGAUUGCAGUCUGCAACUCGACUGCAUGAAGUCGGAAUCGCUAGUAAUCGCGGAUCAGCAUGUCGCGGUGAAUACGUUCCCGGGCCUU